UACAGUGGGGGCAAGCGUUGUUCGGAAUUACUGGGCGUAAAGGGCUCGUAGGUGGCCAACUAAGUCAGACGUGAAAUCCCUCAGCUUAACUGGGGAACUGCGUCUGAUACUGGAUGGCUUGAGUUUGGGAGAGGGAUGCGGAAUUCCAGGUGUAGCGGUGAAAUGCGUAGAUAUCUGGAGGAACACCGGUGGCGAAGGCGGCAUCCUGGACCAACACUGACACUGAGGAGCGAAAGCCUGGGGAGCAAACGGG
rnacentral:rRNA from 1 species